CCUGGAGGGUCCCGAAAGAUCUUGGUUUCUCAGUGCUAUAGAAGGCUUGGCAGCUUUUAGUCCCAUAAAGUGAAACUCGCUGCAGUAUGAAGUUAUCCAUAGAAGCUUUGUAUUUGUGCUUCAAAAGACGGGGGUUUAUAUUCUGUAAAAUGUGAAGAAAAUACUUAUCAAGUGAAGGUGAUGGAGGAGCAGCCAGUUAGUUGCUGUGUAAGCUGACUACAUGGAUAGUGUCUGGAGAGAAUUCCUACUGCUCUCUCUGCACCUGCAUUGCAGUAGUAGCUAGACAUAUAUAUUUUUAAUUGCUUUAAUCUAAAAAUCCCUGUUGGUCACUGUUAAAAGCAGAAUCCCAGGUGAUACAGGAAAUUAAUGCAAUUUGGUGCGAUAGACAUUUUAGGUAUAAAUAAUGGAAAAAUAUGACAAAAUGAAUGAUGCAAAUAAGCAAACAAAAAAAGAUUGCAGUAAACACACUAACAACAUAGCAUGUGACAAGUCAAAUCUAGACAAGUAAGAGCCCAGCUGCACAAAACAGAAGUGUCCUUGUGAUGAGAGAUGAGCAACACGAGUGGGGUGUGCUACUGAUUUGAGAACAAUCAUUCUAUUUUUGGACUGUUGUGACCAACUAUGGCAUAAUAUCUCUUAGGGAAGGCUAUUAUUGUUAUAUAUGCACAUUAUUUCAGCUAUACUUAAUGUUCUACCAGCACUUGCAUGAUAAAUCUAUUUCUAAAGGCUACAACGAGGCGGUAAAUGUUCAUUCAGCAGCAAAGACAGCUGCGAUUAGCCAUUUAAAAAGUUUAGAAAUAGAAGCAGAAGUUAAUGAAAACAGUCUCAGAUUCUGGCACUUGUAUACAGGAAUUCAAAAGGUGUGCAAGCACUGCAGGGGAGGGACAUGCCUCUGUUGUGGCUUUGUGAAGAACAUAGAGCAGUGUAUUUGUCUGUGCUGUUCUGCACGAAAGCUGCAGAGUUGCCUUUAAGACCCAAACCCUCUGAUUAUCCAAACUCUCUGAGCCAUUAGAAAUCCCAGCUGGAGUGCCAGAAGUCAGCUCUGAGGACCAGGUAAAAGGUCUGAAUGAUCAGAAUUGCCUGGAAGAGCCUGGUUUCCAUGAGACUGAAAGACUGAUGCCAUCACCCCCACAUGUAUCUUUACAUUAUGUUGUUGGUCUUCUUCAGGACCUCUCUUGGCACAGGUGAUCAACUGGUCCCAGGGGAUAUCAGUAUCUGUUCUUCAUAUGGGAAGAAUACACCUGGCACUACAACUUUGCCAAAGCCUCACUUGUGUAAUGAACUCAUUGCCUAGGAAUAUUCCAUCGUAUUGGUCACCAGUGCUUCAUUAGGGCAGAAAAACAAGAGGAGGUUACAGCAUGGUUAAGUACAGCUGCCCUUGCUCAUGGGUGAUUACUGCUUGUACACUGAGUAUGAGAUUUUGUAGGACUUGUUUUUGCCAUUCAGUUUUAUGUCAGGCUCUCUGUGGGGUGAAGAACAACUCUCUGGAGAGGACAGAACUGAAACAUCUGGUAUGCCCGCAUUGGUUCAGGCCUGCUCUCACCUUUAUUAAGCUUUGGUAAGCUAGAUGUGGACUAGUCAAGAUCAUACCAUCAGUGUGAGGGACCAACCUGUCUCCAGAAACACUGUCAGAUCUUUGUAGCCAUCACCCUCAUCCUGAAACAGGCACCACUCAUGCCUAAAACACUCCAGCCUCUAGUCUUUGCACUGGGACACCCAGUCCUCCUCUUCCUCCUCCUGCCAGCAGGCUCCAGCUCACAGACAGGACUCAACUAUUCAUCUUCAGACCAUCACCACUUGACAGUUGGCUGUGAGCCCUCUGAAUUGUAUGAAUCUGCCAGCUGAUACGGAGGAGGGCUUGUUCCAGGCACCCAGCCCAGAUCCUGCAAAAGAAAGUUCUUUCUUCCUCCUACUGGACAACAAGCAGGAUUCAGACAUUGAGUCAUCAGGCAGAGUGGCUCUGUGCAGUGGAUUUUCCGGUGUCCCACUGCCAUUCCAGCAGAAGCCCAGGUUGCAGAAGGUGCACUGUGUAACAUUCCAGAUCUCCUGGCUCCAGCAGACCUGUGCAAUAGACACCAGGCCAUAAAAAGGUUUACCAAGAGGGUGGAUGUGAGCAGGAAGCAUAGCUGCAGCAGGACCAUGUAGAGUGGAGGCUUGGAGCAGCUGGGAGCUCAUAAAGUAGAAGAACCUGGUGAGGCAUGAGGAGUUCCUGGAACUUCUCAUUCCAGACUUGAGAGCUUGGCUGCCAGUUUCCUGGGAAACUCCAUAACCACCUAUCACAUGGAGACAGCCAGGCAUCCCACACCCCUUCCAAGCAGAGAAAGUGUUUACAGUGCCUGGUCUGCUGACUCACUUGUGAGCCAGCAGUAUUCUCGAGUCUAGGAAGUCUGCUCCAAUGGCUGGGUUGAUGGAUGAUGCAGCUUUGGAGGAGGCAUGUAACAACUAACUGGUAUCAGCAGUGGAAUGUUCAUAGUCUUUGGUGGGACUGAAGGUCACAUGUUCUCUCUUUUUUUUUAAUGUUUUUUAUUGCUAUUGUUGCCUUUGGCAUUUAGAGGAGAAGCCCUGUCACAGCCUGGUAAUUCUAAUUAAAGUUGGUGACAUAUUAAUUUAAUAAGGAAGUGGACAGACUGAUGAACCAUUAUUAUAGGGCAGAGAAGACUAGAAGUGUUCACAUUUUUAGUGUAUUUCAAGAUAUGCUGAUGCUGUAGAUGUGGGUUUUUUAAUCGGGUUGCCUUUAAGAACAUGGAAUAUUUUUGUUCUUUUUCUCUCUGUCAUCAGCCAGAGGGAUAAAGCCUAAAGAGUGUCCCUUGGUACAUGUAAUUGUCCUUGCUUCCCAAGCAUGGCCAUCUUCCCAGUCUUUGAUGGCAAGACUGUGCCUAAUUUCCUCUGGUCCUAGUGAACAAGGGUACCCUGUAUGAACAUUUGUGUACGGGGCAAUUCUACUUGUGGACUCUGAGUGUGCUGGGUGCAACAAGAGCAGCUGUCCCAGUUUGAAAUGUUUUCUCUGUUUGUUUAUCAGUGUCCUGUUGUAGUAGGUAAUCCACGGAGUUAGGUAUUGGUUGGCUUUCUGGUCUACUCCUUGCCAGCAGCUUUUCUGUAUAAUGCAGUUGCCUUGCACUUGUCAAACCAGGAAACAAAUGUGAUAACAAAUAAAGGUUUGUUUUCUUUCACU